rnacentral:lncRNA from 1 species
CAGUGGGUCCAUCACUGCUCACUGCAGCCUUGACUGCCUGGGCUCAAGCGAUCCUCCCACCUCAGCCUCUAGAGUAGCUGGGACUACAGAUGCAUGCCACUAUGCCCAACUAAUUUUUAAAAAUUUUUUUCUAGAGGCAGGGUUUCACUCUGUUGCCCAGGCUGGUCCCAAACUCCUUGCCUGAAGUGAUCCUCCUGCCUUUGUCUUUCAAAGUGCUGGCACUACAGGUGUGAGCCACUGUUCCAGGACAAGAUCUUAUUUCUUUGUUUGAAAAGAUCCUUAAUCAGGUUUUUAUUCUCUCAAAUGUCUGUCAGAAUACGAAUUUAGAAUAACAAGGAAAUAAGGUCUGCUUUAUUUACUUUUAAGAAAUAAAAUAUUAUUCAUGUAAGUUUAGCCAAACUAACUAAACCUGAUGCUGUUAAUGAAAUAGGGCCUGCCUUUGCAUAAGAUAAUUCCUGUGUAGUAUAUCACACCACCAGC